rnacentral:tRNA from 1 species
GCGGACCAAGAAGGCAUGCGCUGGAAGGGAAAUUCGACCUUGCCAAGGUUGGGGUCGCGGGUUCGAAUCCCGUCGUCCGCUCCA